rnacentral:tRNA from 1 species
GAUUAAAUGGCUGAAGUUUAGGCGAUAAAUUGUAAAUUUAUAUAUAAGAGUUAUUCUUUUUAAUCA